rnacentral:rRNA from 1 species
ACGGAAGGCAGCAGUGGGGAAUAUUGCACAAUGGGCGUAAGCCUGAUGCAGCGAUGCCGCGUGAGGGAAGAAGGUUUUCGGAUUGUAAACCUCUGUCAACAGGGACGAAAAUGACGGUACCUGUGAAGGAAGCUCCGGCUAACUACGUGCCAGCAGCCGCGGUAAUACGUAGGGAGCAAGCGUUAUCCGGAAUUACUGGGUGUAAAGGGAGUGUAGGCGGGACUGUAAGUCAGAUGUGAAAUAUGCCGGCUCAACUGGCAGACUGCAUUUGAAACUGCGGUUCUUGAGUGAAGCAGAGGUAAGCGGAAUUCCUAGUGUAGCGGUGAAAUGCGUAGAUAUUAGGAGGAACAUCAGUGGCGAAGGCGGCUUACUGGGCUUUAACUGACGCUGAGGCUCGAAAGCGUGGGGAGCAAACAGGAUUAGAUACCCUGGUA